CACUGUCUACUAGAUGCAUAC
rnacentral:miRNA from 1 species